GAUCCUGGCUCAGGACGAACGCUGGCGGCGUGCCUAAUACAUGCAAGUCGAACGAACGGAUAAAGAGCUUGCUCUUUUGAAGUUAGUGGCGGACGGGUGAGUAACACGUGGGUAACCUGCCUCACAGCUGGGGAUAACAUCGAGAAAUCGAUGCUAAUACCGAAUGUGCUGAACAUCAUAAGAUGUUCAAGUGAAAGACGGUUUCGGCUGUCACUGUGAGAUGGACCCGCG
rnacentral:rRNA from 1 species